rnacentral:rRNA from 1 species
GUCGAGCGAACAGAUAAGGAGCUUGCUCCUUUGACGUUAGCGGCGGACGGGUGAGUAACACGUGGAUAACCUACCUAUAAGACUGGGAUAACUUCGGGAAACCGGAGCUAAUACCGGAUAAGAUUUUGAACCGCAUGGUUCAAUAGUGAAAGACGGCCUUGCUGUCACUUAUAGAUGGAUCCGCGCCGUAUUAGCUAGUUGGUAAGGUAACGGCUUACCAAGGCAACGAUACGUAGCCGACCUGAGAGGGUGAUCGGCCACACUGGAACUGAGACACGGUCCAGACUCCUACGGGAGGCAGCAGUAGGGAAUCUUCCGCAAUGGGCGAAAGCCUGACGGAGCAACGCCGCGUGAGUGAUGAAGGUCUUCGGAUCGUAAAACUCUGUUAUCAGGGAAGAACAAACGUGUAAGUAACUGUGCACGUCUUGACGGUACCUGAUCAGAAAGCCACGGCUAACUACGUGCCAGCAGCCGCGGUAAUACGUAGGUGGCAAGCGUUAUCCGGAAUUAUUGGGCGUAAAGCGCGCGUAGGCGGUUUUUUAAGUCUGAUGUGAAAGCCCACGGCUCAACCGUGGAGGGUCA